UACGGAGGGGACUAGCGUUGUUCGGAAUUACUGGGCGUAAAGCGCACGUAGGCGGAUUUGUAAGUCAGGGGUGAAAUCCCGGGGCUCAACCUCGGAACUGCCUUUGAUACAGCACGUCUUGAGUCCGAUAGAGGUGGGUGGAAUUCCUAGUGUAGAGGUGAAAUUCGUAGAUAUUAGGAAGAACACCGGUGGCGAAGGCGGCCCACUGGAUCGGUACUGACGCUGAGGUGCGAAAGCGUGGGGAGCAAACAGG
rnacentral:rRNA from 1 species